GAUUUGUGACUUUAUUCCAAUGGUAACUGAACUACUUCCGGUAGAUGUUAUCACAGAACAAUGCUCCCUCACUUUCAGAAAUGAACUUGGGAGUACUGGGACCAGUUGUUCUACAAUGAUUGCAUCAAAGAAGCAGAGAUUUAUCAGGGCAGAAAUGGUCAUACAAGGGCUAUGAAUUUUUUUUCCGAGUUAGUUGUGUACUAGAGGAAUGCCACAACUCAGUUUGUUUCUUUUUAUAGGUUGGGCUAAAAUGAGAAGCCAUGAAUCUCGGUUCUCCAACUUCCACCUCUAUCUGCACUGAAUUGGAGGAGGGUGUUUAUAGGGACACAAAAUCAACAGCCACUGACUUGGUAUAAGUGAUACUUGAACCCUCCUGCCAAUUCUGAUGCACCUGAAGGAGAUGAGCCUUUGGCUUUGGACAUGGGGAGCAUGCAUGGGGAAGGGUCAAGUAUGAUUCAAUGGGGAGAGCAUUGGAAGAUACUGGACUAUUCAUGCUAAUGGUAAUUGGUGAUUUUUUAGCUAAUCCACUUGGACAUGGGAAUCGUUACAAACUGAAUCUAUUAGCGUGCAAUCCACCAGUUCAAUAUAUUGCAAGGUUGUUCUUCAUGAAUAUUUGGGUUCAAGUUUCAUUGGGAUUUGUCCUGAUUGAGUGCUAGUAUAUAUGAACAUAUAUAUUCUCUUGAAUUCUUUUAUAAGCACAUACUUGUUUGAUUUCAUAAUCUCUUGGUGCUGUAUGUUCAAGAAGGGGUUUUGAUUCCGAGGCCGGAGACUGAACUCAUUGUUGAUUUGGUGGGUGAUGUGGUGAAGGAUGAGGAGGGUUUCAGAGAGGGUUUGUGGGCAGAUUUGGGGACUGGGAGUGGGGCUAUUGCUAUUGGGAUUGGGAGGGUUUUGGGGACUGGUGUCAGAGUCAUUGCAACUGAUUUGAGUCUCACUGCGAUUUUGAUUGCGGGUUUUAAUGUGGAGAGGGAGGUAUGGUUUACAGGUUAGUGUUUGGCAUUGUGCUUGGAGCUUAAAAGUGACAUUAAAGUAGUUGUGUAGACAUGCUAUGUUGUGUUUUGAAUUUAUGUUGAGAUAGAUAGAGAAUGCUAUAGUUAUAGCUUUGUAAUGGAUUGGAUUAGUUUUGGAGAAUGAGAAUGUCUACUAAUAAUAUGAGUUGUUAAAUGAAAAUGCAAGAAAAAGAGUAGAGCUUUAUCACCUUGGUAUUCACUAUUUGACAAUUGUUGGAUUAAGUUGGGCAAGAAUUUGAGUCCAUAACAUUGAUGGUUUUGGUAAUUUAAAUGGGGUUUUGGUAUAAUACUUGCAGAGACUAAGGUAGAGUGUUUGAAAAAAUAUGACGAGAGGAGUAGUGCCCGAGAGUCUUCAAGAGCAUGCAAGUACCUAAAUUUGGACAUUAUUGAGAAUGUAUUGUUUUGUUGUUGUGUUGUUAUAUACCGUUUUAAUUCUUGCUGCCUUAUCUAAAAUUAUUGUAGGCUGCCCCAUGCAUUACAACUGACCCCUUGCUUGUGUUGGUAUACCUUUGGGUUGAGCAUGAAUUAAAUGCAAUCAAUUUUUAAAGGUUCUGUAAGGUCAGGUUUGCUUGGCUUGUGUUAGUUUGUUUUCCAUUGUGAUACUUGGUCUUUUUCAUGUCACAAGCAAUUGUUAAGGAAAACUCUCUCUCUAUCAUUCAAUACUUGGGUUGUUGUUGCAUAAGAGGCAAUUUCCAAUAACACAAAGCAAUUCAUCAAAUACUUAGUAUAUCAUUGUCCCGUGUUAGUUCAUGUAUUUUACAGAUUUUGAUGUUUCAGUUUUAAACUCAUUCUAUGUGAGAACAAAAUCUAGUCUUUCAGUAUUCAGUCUGGUCUUUCUUAAUAGAGAUGUAGAAAAAGUUAUAUCCAUUAUAUUUGGCCAUUUUUGUUCAGUACAAGUGAUUGGGUUGUUGAUGACUUAGGCAGGCAGCAUUAUUUUAUUUUAUUUUUUGUUACAGAAGGGAAUUGGUAUUGAGUGUCGAAACUGCUAAGUGUUUCUUUUCAUCAUUUCGCCCUUUGAACUUUUUAUACUCUUGAAGGUGCCAAGUAGUAACAUUGCUUUUAUAUUCAUCAGCAUAUAUUUGAGCCCUGGAGAGGCAGUAAUUGUUGCUCAGGAAGUUGUCAAUAUAAUGGCUGCGAAGGGAUAUGAUCUGGGACAAGAUACAUUAAUCAAGGCCAAAAGCUUCUGAUGAGUCCUACCAAGUAUCAGCUACUACAACAGCCAAGGUUUACAGCUACUUCAUAAAACUAUAUUUUUCUCUUUACAGAGGGGAGAGUUAUCAAGGGAACACCUCCAUCGAUAUGAGCAAGCACCAUAUGCCCAGAAUGUAGUUGAGAUAGAGAAAAAAAAGCUUUCCGAUCACCAAGUUUGUAUUUCAAUGUAUAUUUUGCAUAUCACACAUGAGCUUUUUGUAUUUUAGAAUUUUGAACAUUGCUCAGAUGUAUGACCUUCGUUUCUUUAAAGCUUA